UAUGGAGAUAUUUUCUUAGGACAUGUAUAUAAACAUAAAGGAACAUUUUAUUUUAUUUUUCUUUUUUUAUCAUAUUAUUAUUAUUUUUUUUUUGUUCGAUUCAGAAAGUAUUGUUAGAAUCAAAAAGUAAUAUUUUUAAUAUUUUUUUGUACAUUAUAAUUAUGUUUCUUAUUUUAUGUAUGGCCUUCCGAGAUAUAUUUAAAAGAAUUAAAGUGAUUACGAAAUAAAAAUUUUUAGCCUAUCCGUAUGCACUGUUGGUUUCUUAUUCUUAUUAUUUGAUUAUGUUAUCCUUGUCUUCUAUACUUUCAACCUUAUAGGGUCCAGUAUAUUUAGAGUCUAGCUUAUGUCCUGUUUCAUUUUUCAAUAAGACUUUAUUUUCUAUAGAUAUAUCUACGUCAUUAGUCAAAAGGUCAUAAAAUUCUUUGUUUUUCCUCUUAUUUGCUUCUAUCAUAAUUCUAGCUCUUUUAUGUGCUACUUCUAAUCUAUAUUUACUCUCUCUAGCAUAAUCAUCUAAGUUAUACAUAGGCUCUAUGUUUUUAAUAGUAUUAAAUUGCUUUGGCAAAUUUGAUGUUUUUCCAAAAACUAACUCAUAUAGACAGUAAUCAUGUUGCAUUGUGGGUGUAGUAUUAAAGCAGUAUACGAAAUAUUUCAUAUGUAUGAGCGUAUGUAUUCAUUAAAUUUCUGUGACUACUGUUCCAACUGUCUGGUGGUGUGCUUUAGACAUUAUAUUUUGAAUUGUCUGCACAACUCCUUUAUAAUCGAAUUUUAUACUCGGUUCCGUACCUUAAUAUAAAAGACUCGAAAAUAGCUUUUGCGACAGUGUUGGCACUUUUAUUUGCAAUCGGAAUGGCAACUAAAUAUUUUGUAAAAUCACAUAUAAGUGUGACUGCAUAUUCGUUACAAUUAUCCGAUUUUGGUAGAGAUAGAUUGCGCCAACUGUGUCUAUAAUCACUCUGCCGAAAGCAUUUAUUGGAGUGCCAGUGAUUGUUACUUUUGAUUUUUGACAUUUGUCAAUAUAAUUAGUAUUAGUAAUAUCGGGUCAUACCUAUCCAAUAGUAAUACCUUUUGACCUUGGCUAAGGUUCUUGUUAUUCCAGUGUGACCUACUUGCACUGGAUCGUUGUGAAAUGUAGAUAGUAUAGCUUCUUUUUCUUUAUCAUUAUAUAUUCCGGUCACCGGGUUGAGUUGAGCUACUCUCAAUGAUUUUAUUAUCUUGUUGCCCAUUUUUUUAAACUAUCUAUUGAAACUUGAUCAAAGAUUUUUUCCCACGGUGCCACUUUUAGUUGACUGAUUUUAUAUAUACCGGCUUGCAUUUCAAGCCUUUGGAAUAACUGACCUAAGUCGAGAACUCCGUUAAAAAAUAAAUCGCUAACACAUAUCUUGCAAUAAUUUGUUUUCCAUGUUUGAAGAAACAGGUGAUUUACGUACUUUGUCAUCAUUGAUGACUCCGUAAACAUUUGGCUUUGAAGCUUUUUCUAUAGAUUGCCUUGACAACUCUGUUUCUUUUUCUCCUGCGCAGGAUUGCUGUCUACUUUGAUAUCUUGUAGUGACUUUAUUUAUAUUUUUGUUAAUGACUUUUAGCUCUUCGAUGGUUAUUCUCGAUAACGCAUCUUCUACGUAAUUGUCUUUACCCUUUAGAUACUCUACAGUGAAGUUGUACUCUUCUAUUUCAAGUCUUAUUCGCGUGAAUUUGGAACUCGGAUUUAUCAUGGAAAAUAGGCACAUAAGUGGUCUGUGAUCUGUUUUGAUAGUAAAGUGUCUACCAUAAAUAUAUGGUCUGAAGUGUGUUAUUGCCCAAUGAAUUGCCACAACUUGGGAUCUCGCUGGCAGAAUUAUGGAGUUAUUCCCAGAACAGGAUAUUAUUGGAACAUAAAUUGGAAAUUUUAAGUUGAUUGGUCUAAUUAUAAAAUUUAUUUUUUAAUUAAAUCGAUUCCUAAUAUUUUAUCACAGGGAAAGCGAAUCGUAAAUUUACAAAAUGAAAAUUAUGUGGGAUUAUAUAUUUAGUAGUCUGUAUCUCAAUUUCGGACCGAGUGUCAGGAAAAAUAUCUGCAUUUUCUUUGAGGAUUGAUAUGUUUGCACCAGUGUCUAUUAAAAAUAAAAGUUGCUUUCCUGUUGCUACAUUUUUAAAA